CCUACGGGAGGCAGCAGUGGGGAAUAUUGGACAAUGGGCGAAAGCCUGAUCCAGCCAUGCCGCGUGUGUGAAGAAGGUCUUCGGAUUGUAAAGCACUUUAAGUUGGGAGGAAGGGCAGUAACCUAAUACGUUAUUGUUUUGACGUUACCGACAGAAUAAGCACCGGCUAACUCUGUGCCAGCAGCCGCGGUAAUACAGAGGGUGCAAGCGUUAAUCGGAAUUACUGGGCGUAAAGCGCGCGUAGGUGGUUUGUUAAGUUGAAUGUGAAAUCCCCGGGCUCAACCUGGGAACUGCAUCCAAAACUG
rnacentral:rRNA from 1 species